UGGGGAAUUUUGGACAAUGGGCGAAAGCCUGAUCCAGCAAUGCCGCGUGUGUGAAGAAGGCCUUCGGGUUGUAAAGCACUUUUGUCCGGAAAGAAAUGGCUCUGGUUAAUACCUGGGGUCGAUGACGGUACCGGAAGAAUAAGAACCGGCUAACUACGUGCCAGCAGCCGCGGUAAUACGUAGGGUCCAAGCGUUAAUCGGAAUUACUGGGCGUAAAGCGUGCGCAGGCGGUUGUGCAAGACCGAUGUGAAAUCCCCGAGCUUAACUUGGGAAUUGCAUUGGUGACUGCACGGCUAGAGUGUGUCAGAGGGGGGUAGAAUUCCACGUGUAGCAGUGAAAUGCGUAGAGAUGUGGAGGAAUACCGAUGGCGAAGGCAGCCCCCUGGGAUAACACUGACGCUCAUGCACGCAAGCGUGGGGAGCAAACAGG
rnacentral:rRNA from 1 species